rnacentral:rRNA from 1 species
GUGGGCCUCUGGGUCAACUUCCCACCCGUGUUUAUUUUACCUCUGUUGCUUCGGCGGGCCCGCCUUAUCUGGCCUGCCGGGGGGCUCACGCCCCCGGGCCCGCGCCCGCCGAAGACACCCUCGAACUCUGUCUGAAGAUUGAAGUCUGAGUGAAAAUAUAAAUUAUUUAAAACUUUCAACAACGGAUCUCUUGGUUCCGGCAUCGAUGAAGAACGCAGCGAAAUGCGAUACGUAAUGUGAAUUGCAAAUUCAGUGAAUCAUCGAGUCUUUGAACGCACAUUGCGCCCCCUGGUAUUCCGGGGGGCAUGCCUGUCCGAGCGUCAUUGCUGCCCUCAAGCCCGGCUUGUGUGUUGGGCCCCGUCCUCCGAUUUCCGGGGGACGGGCCCGAAAGGCAGCGGCGGCACCGCGUCCGGUCCUCGAGCGUAUGGGGCUUUGUCACCCGCUCUGUAGGCCCGGCCGGCGCUUGCCGAUCAACCCAAAUUUUAUCCAGGUUGACCUCGGAUCAGGUAGGGAUACCCGCUGAACUUAAGCAUAUCAAUAAGCAGGAAAGAA